GACAGAGGUGCCAAGCGUUAGGCGGAAUCACUGGGCUUAAAGCGUGUGUAGGCGGACCCGUCAGUACCUUGUGAAAUCCCACGGCUCAACCGUGGAACUGCUCGGUAUACUGCGGGUCUUGAGCCACUUAGGGGCUGUCGGAACAAACGGUGGAGCGGUGAAAUGCGUAGAUAUCAAGAGGAACACCUGAGGCGAAGGCGGGUUGCUAGGCUGACACUGACGCUGAGGCGCGAAAGCUAGGGUAGCAAACGGG
rnacentral:rRNA from 1 species